rnacentral:rRNA from 1 species
GACGAACGCUGGCGGCAUGCCUAAUACAUGCAAGUCGAGCGAACAGAUGAAGUGCUUGCACUUCUGACGUUAGCGGCGAACGGGUGAGUAACACGUAAGGAAUCUACCUAUAAGCGGGGGAUAACAUUCGGAAACGGGUGCUAAUACCGCAUAAUAUCUUCUUCCGCAUGGAAGAAGAUUGAAAGACGGCUCUGCUGUCACUUCUAGCUGACCUUGUGGUGCAUUAGUUAGUUGGUGGGGUAACGGCCUACCAAGACGAUGAUGCAUAGCCGACCUGAGAGGGUGAUCGGCCACAUUGGGACUGAGACACGGCCCAAACUCCUACGGGAGGCAGCAGUAGGGAAUCUUCCGCAAUGGGCGAAAGCCUGACGGAGCAAUGCCGCGUGAGUGAAGAAGGCCUUCGGGUCGUAAAACUCUGUUAUAAGAGAAGAACAAAUUGUAGAGUAACUGCUACAGUCUUGACGGUAUCUUAUCAGAAAGCCACGGCUAACUACGUGCCAGCCGCCGCAGUAA